AUCCAGUUUGCGAGUCCCAAAUAGGACGAAACCAGCGUCCUGGAU
rfam:Schistosoma haematobium scaffold614_26, whole genome shotgun sequence.